AGAUCAGUUUUGCAUCAACAAUGGUUUCUUGUUUUAUUUUGCACAUAAUAGUUUGGAAAAGACCAGUGGAAUGAAUUACUAAUAUUAUGUUUGAAAAAGUAAAUUUCAGUGCCUUCACAACACCCAUUUAUGAACAGAUACAUAUGAACAGUGAGUUUCGUUCUAACAUUAGACAUAUAUAAUCAUACCACAUCAUAACUGACAUUACUUAGUGUUCAGAAUACAUCGGCACCACAAGCUACAUAUCAUAAUAUUUCAUCACUUGGUGUCCAUACAUCACCACAUCACCAAAAGCUACUUAACAUAUACCAGGACCAGAUAAACAUCAUCACCAAAAGUCAGCCACCUUAUCAGCCAUGUUGAGGUUGGCCAGUACGAUCACAUCACUUCUUGAGGUCGGCCACCUUCUCUGCCAGGGCAUGCAGGUCCGCACCGAUAGCAUCGAUCUUGCUGUUGAGGCCGUUGUUGCGAUCAACCUGUUUCUUUGAGGUGAUCAGUCUUUGUAACACCCAAAAUUUUGAUUUCAAUUAAUAGGAAUUAAUUUGAUUAUUUAAGAAUUUUUGUGAGCAUUGGAAUCUAGCAAAAUAAAUAAUUUUGUGCAAAUUAAAAUUCGCCAUAAAUUUAGAAACAUGAAUUUGCAUUCAUGCUGGGGCAUAUUUUUAUUUUGUGCUGUGAGAUAUUGGUUUGAAGUUAAUUGUGUUCAAAAUUCUAUUUGAAAAGGGCUUUGAAAAAUAAAAUAGAAAAAAAAGAAAAGAAAAAGAAAAGGGGGAAGAACCCCGCAACCAGCUGAGGCCCAUUUCCCCUCUGGCCUGCUUGCCCCCUCCCCCCGCAGCCCAGCUUCUUUCCCCGGCCCAGCGUGCGCAACCAGCGACCCCGCAGCCCAGUAGCCAGGCCUGCCAGCGCGCUCCCUUUUCCCCCCUCCUUCUGCUCGCUGACCUUCAGGCCCCGC
rnacentral:lncRNA from 1 species